rnacentral:lncRNA from 1 species
GGUAAUGAGCUUGUAUUAUGACUCAAUAGCAUCACUUUAUCACUUUAACACAGAUGGAGGCCUAAAUAACCAUAGGGCAAUGGUUCUUCUUAGAUGCAGAAGGACACAUUUAUAUAAUCUUAGGGACCCCAUCUCUGAGGUCACUCAUAAUUUAUAUUAAUUCAUUGUUAUUGCCAUUGCCCCAAGAAUAGAUAAGGAUAAGACAUCCUGUAGUACAGGUAGCAGAGAUAUAAACUAUUCUUAUUCUUGUGUCUUGUCUAUAGGAAGGGAGUGUAUCCUGGUGUAUGACAGCAUAUAGUAGAGACCAUUGUCAAUUAGGGCCUGUGAACUGAGACAGGGUGACUGGCUAAGUCCACAACCCAUUAGAAACCCAGAAAUAAUCAAAUCAUGAGGGAUCAUGGAAAGGAAGCUGAAUUUGCCAAGUUUUGCCACGUGGGCAUUGCAUGCCUAUGUGAUUAACCACCAAUAAAAACCUGGGACAUCAAAGAAUAAAUAAGCUGCUCUAAUUGCCAAGAAUUCACAUGUGGUUGUAUGCAGCAUUACUGGGAGAUUGAAGUGUAUCUGCAUGUGAUUCUGCUGUGAUGGACACUUGUAAGUUUGUGCCUGGAGUCUCCUGGACUUUGCCCUGAGAAUCUUUUUCCUUUGUUGAUAUGACUCUGCAUCCUUUUGUUUUAAUAAACUGUAAACAUGAGUAUAA